GACGAACGCUGGCGGCGUGCCUAAUACAUGCAAGUUGAGCGCUGAAGGUUGGUACUUGUACCCACUGGAUGAGCAGCGAACGGGUGAGUAACGCGUGGGGAAUCUGCCUUUGAGCGGGGGACAACAUUUGGAAACGAAUGCUAAUACCGCAUAAAAACUUUAAACACAAGUUUUAAGUUUGAAAGAUGCAAUUGCAUCACUCAAAGAUGAUCCCGCGUUGUAUUAGCUAGUUGGUGAGGUAAAGGCUCACCAAGGCGAUGAUACAUAGCCGACCUGAGAGGGUGAUCGGCCAACAUGGGAAUGAGACACGGCCCAAACUCCUACGGGAGGCAGCAGGAGGGAAACUUCGGCAAUGGACGAAAGUCUGACCGAGCAACGCCGCGUGAGUGAAGAAGGUUUUCGGAGCGUAAAACUCUGUUGGUAGAGAAGAAAGUUGGUGAGAGUGGAAAGCUCAUCAAGUGACGGUAACUACACAGAAAGGGACGGCUAACUACGUG
rnacentral:rRNA from 1 species